AGCAGCCGCGGUAAUUCCAGCUCCAAUAGCGUAUAUUAAAGUUGUUGCAGUUAAAAAGCUCGUAGUUGAAUUUCGGGGUUCUACCGUUGGUCGGGCUUUGUCUGUACUGGCGUGUAGAAUUUCUACCUUCUGGGGAACCGUCAUGUUAUUAAUUUAACGUGGUGGGAAACCAGGACCUUUACCUUGAAAAAAUUAGAGUGUUCAAAGCAGGCUUAUGUCUGAAUACAUUAGCAUGGAAUAAUAAAAUAGGGCGGUGGUCCUGUUUUGUUGGUUUCUGAAUCACCGUAAUGAUUAAUAGGGAUAGUUGGGGGCAUUAGUAUUCAAUUGUCAGAGGUGAAAUUCUUGGAUGUAU
rnacentral:rRNA from 1 species